rnacentral:rRNA from 1 species
CCAGACUCCUACGGGAGGCAGCAGUGGGGGAUAUUGCACAAUGGGGGAAACCCUGAUGCAGCGACGCCGCGUGUGGGAAGACGGUCCUCUGGAUUGUAAACCACUGUCCCCAGGGACGAAGAUGACGGUACCUGGGGAGGAAGCUCCGGCUAAAUACGUGCCAGCAGCCGCGGUAAUACGUAUGGUGCAAGCGUUAUCCGGAUUUACUGGGCGUAAAGGGAGCGCAGACGGAAAGGCAAGUCAGAAGUGAAAACCCAAGGCUCAACCAUGGGACUGCUUUUGAAACUGUCAAACUAGAGUACGGGAGAGGUAAGAGGAAUUCCUAGUGUAGCGGUGAAAUGCGUAGAUAUUAGGAGGAACACCAGUGGCGAAGGCGGCCUGCUGGGCUUUAACUGACGCUGAGGCUCGAAAGCGUGGGGAGCAAACAGGAUUAGAUACCCGCGUAC